rnacentral:rRNA from 1 species
UACGUAGGGACCAAGCGUUGUUCGGAUUUACUGGGCGUAAAGGGCGCGUAGGCGGCUUAACAAGUCACUUGUGAAAUCUCCGGGCUUAACUCGGAACGGCCAAGUGAAACUGUCAAGCUAGAGUGCAGAAGGGGCAAUCGGAAUUCUUGGUGUAGCGGUGAAAUGCGUAGAUAUCAAGAGGAACACCUGAGGUGAAGACGGCUCUCUGGACCAGCAUUGACGCUGAGGCGCGAAAGCCAGGGGAGCAAACGGG